UGGUCUGCAGGCCGAUGCUCUAUCCACUGAGACAAACUGGCCAGGGCCCAAUUUCCUUCUUGUGGGCAGCUUAACCAACAUCUCUCCACUUCUGAUGAAUGAAUGCCAGCAACCAGGGUACAAGCCAGGUCGUCCGGGCCCCGUGCCUGUGCCUUUGAAGGCUGGGUGGAAGGAUUCGAUGUGCAGGGAGGCCUUCUUCUUUGGGAAUGAGAGGGUGUCUGCUUCGUGCAUAAAUCCUCCCUCGUGCCCAGCCCGGUGUUGAGGCCGGAUGUUCUACGUUGCGUACGGGCCUGUCCCUACCUCUCAGUCUCACUCGAUUUAUAGAGGGUGGAGCCCACCAUCCUGGGCCAUCAACCUGAGGGACCCGAGGGAUCGUUUCCUCUCUGAGCAAAAGCCUGUCGGAUGCCUCUGCCUUACAAGGAGGCAGACACUGGCAGACGCCCUCCUUCCUCUUUCCACCCCAGGCACCGUGCUGAGCAGCGACCAGGUAGAGCCCCUUCUCCUGCCUCUGCUGGUAGAUUUUCUCCGUGGCCUCAGCUGGACAGAAGCAGGGGUGUCCCCCUCUGUAGGACCCCCACCCUGUCUCUUUUUACUGCCUUUGUGUGUCAUUUACUCAUUCCAGCCACGUGGUCACUUUGCUGUUCCUCUAGCCCAGUGAUUCUAAUGUGCAGCCAAGGUUGAGAACCACUGCUCUAGCCCAUCAGGCCGCACCCUAUCUCAGGGCUUUGGCACUGCCUGUGUCCACCCCCGGAACCUGCAUGUCUUUGCUCAAAUGUCACCUUCCCAGUGACCAUCCUUCUUAACCCCCCCCCCCCCACGACUCCCUACUUUAUUUUCCUCCAUCACUGUGCAAAUGCUAGAAAUCUACUUAUUAUUUGGGGUACUGCCUGCUUUCCUCUGGUAAAGGGUGAGCUCCAUGAAGGUGUGUGGUUUUGUACCCCAGAGCCUAAGAUAGCAUUGGGUUUACCGUGAGUGCUAAACGCAUAGCUGUGAGUGAGUGAGUGAAUGAAUGGAUCAACCGCGACAUCCCAUCGGUGUCCCCUGGAAUGCAGAGAGGCAGGUUUCUCCUUAUCCUUUUAUAAAGCACAGGAAGCGAGCAAACUGUGAGUUCUGAACACAGGGCUCCCAAGCAGGAUAUGCUGAUGGGAGUCCCUUGUGGGAGCAACGCAGAAAUCUGGGGACACCGUGGUCGAGAACAGCUGUCCAUGUCCACCAAUCCCGCCUGUUCCCUGUGAGAAGGACAAUUCUGGCAUAUGCUCCCCGCAGGGCAUCCUCCUGAGUGUAUGUCAUCACCGCGGCCCUGACACUCAGGGGCGGCUGCUUUAGAGAGAAGUUCAGCUGUCUUAAGGGGCAGCCACUGUGGAAACAGUGUGACAGUUCCUCAAAA